UACGUAGGGUCCGAGCGUUAAUCGGAAUUACUGGGCGUAAAGCGUGCGCAGGCGGUUUUGUAAGCCAGGUGUGAAAUCCCCGGGCUUAACCUGGGAACUGCAUUUGGGACUGCAAGGCUCGAGUACGGCAGAGGGAGGUGGAAUUCCACGUGUAGCAGUGAAAUGCGUAGAGAUGUGGAGGAACACCGAUGGCGAAGGCAGCCUCCUGGGCCAGUACUGACGCUCAUGCACGAAAGCGUGGGGAGCAAACAGG
rnacentral:rRNA from 1 species